UACGUAGGGGCCAAGCGUUGUCCGGAUUUAUUGGGCGUAAAGAGCUCGUAGGCGGUUGGGUAAGUCGGGUGUGAAAACUCCAGGCUCAACUUGGAGAUGCCACCCGAUACUGCUCUGACUUGAGUUCGGUAGGGGAGUGGGGAAUUCCUGGUGUAGCGGUGAAAUGCGCAGAUAUCAGGAGGAACACCGGUGGCGAAGGCGGGUCUCUGGGCCGAUAUCGACGCUGAGGAGCGAAAGCGUGGGGAGCGAACAGG
rnacentral:rRNA from 1 species